rnacentral:rRNA from 1 species
CCCUUAGAUGUCCGGGGCCGCACGCGCGUUACACUGAAGGAAUCAGCGUGGCUUUCUCCCUGACCCGAAAGGGUUGGGAAACCCGUUGAAUAUCCUUCGUGAUAGGGAUUGGGGCUUGAAAUUGUUCCCCAUGAACGAGGAAUUCCCAGUAAGCGCGAGUCAUAAGCUCGCGUUGAUUACGUCCCUGCCCUUUGUACACACCGCCCGUCGCUACUACCGAUUGAACGGUUUAGUGAGGGCCUCGGAUUGGUCUCGGCCCGCUCUUUACCGGGCGGCGCCGUUGGUCGAGAAGACGCUCGAACUUGAUCGUUUAGAGGAAGUAAAAGUCGUAACA